GAUGAAGAACGCAGCAAAAUGCGAUAAGUAAUGUGAAUUGCAGAAUUCAGUGAAUCAUCGAAUCUUUGAACGCACAUUACGCCCGCUGGUAUUCCGGCGGGCAUGCCUGUUCGAGCGUCAUUUCAACCCUCAAGCCCCCGGGUUUGGUGUUGGGGAUCGGCUCUGCCCUUCUGGGCGGUGCCGCCCCCGAAAUACAUUGGCGGUCUCGCUGCAGCCUCCAUUGCGUAGUAGCUAACACCUCGCAACUGGAACGCGGCGCGGCCAUGCCGUAAAACCCCAACUUCUGAAUGUUGACCUCGGAUCAGGUAGGAAUACCCGCUGAACUUAAGCAUAUCAAUAAGCGGAGGA
rnacentral:misc_RNA from 1 species